ensembl:miRNA
GUGUGUGCACGUACAUCUGUGUGUAUGUGCAUGUAUAUGUUGACAUAGAUAAGUAAAUCCAGAUAAAUGCAAGAAAUAUGCACACAUGCAGAUGA